rnacentral:rRNA from 1 species
UACAGAGGGUGCAAGCGUUGCUCGGAAUUAUUGGGCGUAAAGGGUAGGUAGGUGGUCUUAUUUGUCGGUGGUGAAAGCCUUGGGCUUAACCCAAGAAGUGCCUUCGAAACGGUGAGACUGGAGUCCUGGAGAGGGUCGUGGAAUUCCCGGUGUAGCGGUGAAAUGCGUAGAGAUCGGAAGGAACAUCAAUGGCGAAGGCAGCCGCCUGGGCCUGGACUGACACUGAGGCACGAAAGCGUGGGUAGCAAACAGG